AUAAAGAAAUAAUUUGGCAUAACUUUUAGUUGAAAAUGCCGUCUCGAAUUCUAGAUCCCGAGGCUGUUGUGCAGCGAAGCGAAGAUGGAUUGAAACCGAAUUAUAAACCUUUAACAGAAAAGGAUGCUCCUGAAGAUAGUUCAGAAAUCAAAGUAUCAAAAAAAUGGUGCAAGAAAAUGGGGAUGCCCAUGUAGAUGAGGCAGCGGAGAAGAUGCUGUCUAAUGCAGAAGGAGCUGAAGUGAAAUUUAUUUCUGGGGAUCGCACAAAUGGGGAUGCUAAAGUUGAUGUGGAAUGUUUGCAACAGGUUUUCACAGGAAUGGGUAA